CGGCAGCGGCCACGAUUAGCCGUGUGUUACCGCCGUUUACAAGUCCCACCCCACCGUCUAUACUUAGGCAACUCCUCACCCAAAGGUCAACGCACUCCCGCUGCACGUGUACGAGCUCGCGAGGAUAAUCAAAGUAUGCAGCGGCUACACACCAUUGGUCGGAAUAUUUACUACGCCAUCGCCAUACUAGAUGGUUUUGGCCCUGGGCCCCCGGGCCCUGGGCCUCCGAAGGCCGCUACUCCACGUAACUAACAAGCGAGAGUGACCGACGAACGCGGCGAACCGCCGACGCCGCCGCGACCAACGAACGUACGAAACAACGCAACGCAACUACUACCUACCUACCCACCACCACCGCCGCGCUACUUGUAACGCCAUUGAGAGAAAAAAACCUGCAACCGAUCGCUAACUGCACUCGACGACAAUUAUCGUCGUCGUCGUCGAGCUACGUAGCGAUCUCCCAUCCUUACGCCAAACUUAUUAAAUGAAUACCCGAUGAUAAAAAUAUAAUAUCAUCAUAGUCCAAAAGAGACUCCGAGGGUCGCGUACGCGCUGGUUGCACCGUAUGCACCUCAAAGCGCGUCCAAUGCUAAGUUUAUUGCGAUUAUAAAGUUCUGCAUAUGCGGUAGUAACACGGUGCGCUGUACGCGCGCCUAUG
rnacentral:misc_RNA from 1 species